rnacentral:rRNA from 1 species
UAAAAAGCUAGUAGUUGGAUCUGUGUAUCGGACGGUCGGUUCGCCGCUCGCGGUGUUUGACUGACCGGUUCGGACGUCAUGCCGGUGGGACCUCGGCGCAAGUCGGGGUUCCGUAACUUACCCUCCGCGCUGCUCUUAACCGAGUGGUUCGGUGGGCCGGCACGUUUACUUUGAACAAAUUUGAGUGCUCAAAGCAGGCCUUAUGUUGCCUGAAAACUGUGUGCAUGGAAUAAUGAAAGAGGACCUUGGUUCUAUUUUGUUGGCUUUCUGAACUCGAGGUAAUGAUUAACAGGGACAGACGGGGGCAUUCGUAUUGCGACGUUAGAGGUGAAAUUCUUGGAUCGUCGCAAGACGGACCGAUGCGAAAGCGUUUGCCAAGAAUGUUUUCGCUAAUCAAGAACGAAAGUUAGAGGUUCGAAGGCGAUUAGAUACCGCCCUAGUUCUAACCAUAAACGAUGUCAGCCAGCGAUGCGCCGAUGUUCCUCCGAUGACACGGCGCGCAACUUCCGGGAAACCAAAGCUUUUGGGUUCCGGGG